CAAGGUGUAGCGCAGUCUGGUAGCGCAUCUGUUUUGGGUACAGAGGGCCGUAGGUUCAAAUCCUGUCACCUUGA
rnacentral:tRNA from 1 species